rnacentral:lncRNA from 1 species
GCGGCAGCGACGACGACGACGACGAGCGGUCUCCAGAACUGACCUGAGGUGUGGGGGGGCCGGGGUGCGUCGAGUUCGGGCUGAGGUGUGAGGGAAGAGAGACGGCCCGAGCUAGUGUGAUCAGUCUGCCUGCCUCUGUGAUCCCCCGCAGCACUGGCUGGAAGUCCGCCGCGUGUCAGUGAGGAGCUGCUGCAGAAGGAAGAAGAAGAAGCAGCGGCGUGGGGACCUGGGAGGCAGGAGCAAGCAAGAAGAGGAAGCGGAAGCGUGCAGAUGUGGGGGGGAAGGAGAGAGGCUCCCUGGGCAAAGCACCUGUCCCGUUAGCAGGGGCACAGUCACGUUUGAGUUGAGAGCUGCCGGCGCCUUUGGUGACCAGGCUGGCGUUGUGCUGGGCGACCUCCCCGUAAGCGGGGCUCGGGUCUUUGCUGUAGUUGGCCUUUUGCCUUGCUGCUCCUUUGGCUGCCUGGGGAGCGUGGCCCCCUGUAACGGAGGGCGAGAGCCACCUCUCCGCACCUGAGUGGGAAAUGGAGCUCGCCGGACCCCGAGGCCACCCUGUAAGCAGGGUAGUGCCGUUUCCCUGCCCCUCUUCCUCCCCCGGCCCCUCGGCAUCGUUGCCUGAUGGUGGCUUGUCAAUGCGACGGCCCCGUACUCGGGGUGUGCGUCACGGCAUUUGGCCGUUGGCUUUACCUGAGAAGCCCCUUGGCACGUUGAGGUCUGUGGCCUCCGUGCAGCCUAGGGACAGGUCACAGGCUCUUGUCUGUUGCCCGUGGUUGUGGGUUUAUUCCCAGGUGUUGGCUGUGCUGCGUUGUCCUUCCCUUCUGGAAAGUCGUGCCUGUGUGUGCGUGUUCCCCUUCCUUUCCUUGAUUGUGUUUGUGGAGUGGUUGAGCGGCUGUGCUUUCCCUUUAGGCCUCCACAAAGAUGGCUGCAGCUUAGCUUUGACUUCCCAGGGGGGAAUGGAGGACUUUGGUGCAUGCCGCAAAAGGGGUGUUCCCUCUUAGUCCUGCGAGCGCAGCGAGUGUCCUGUCUUCCUACUAUUUUCCUUAGUGCAGAUCAGAGCCACACGGUAGUUCUGUGGCCAAGGCCUCCCUGUAGCCAGGGCUUGGGCCUGUCCUUGCGUGGCCGCCUGUCCUGCUGGCGGCGGUGACAGCCCCGUACUCGGGGUGUGUGUCCCAAGCUUCGGAGCCCUCUGUCCCUGAGCAGCCCGCCCGCCCUGUAAUCAGGUGUGGGGAGGCUGCAGCGUUGCAGCCGGCUGCUUUAGCCAUCCAGCUGGUGGGAGUGACCCCUCCCUGUCCCGUCAGAGGGUGCAGGUUGAGGUGCUGUUUGUGUGUGGGGUGACCUCCCCGCUCGGUGGGUCGAGGUAGCUCCCUGGGCUUCCAAAGACGAGACGUUGGUGAUGUUCUGGUGCUGCCGGGCGGGCCAGCCUGUAACUCAGGCGUUGGCGGGAGCCUCGUGCUCCGCGGGGCUUCUUGAAGAGGGUGAGGUGUGGGGGUACCGUCCUGUAGGCAGGGCUGUGUGUGCCCCCCGUGUGUGCUUGGUGAGCUGCGUUCUGAGAGACCCCCUGUACUCAGGUGGGAAUGUGGCCCCGGCCUUUCAGAGGCGCGGGGCCGUGAGAUGCGGGGUGGGGCUUGCGCCCUCCCUGGAAUCGGGGCUGGGAUCCCGACUGCGGCCUUUGGCCGUGCCGCCCCGCUGCCUGGCUGCUGAGAGUUGCUCCUGCCGCUGGGGGGGAAACCGAGCUCUGUGGCUCCAGGGGUGUUGUCCACCCGCCUGUAAUCAGGGUCUGGGUGCGUGAGCGUUUGUGCUCUGCUGGCAGCCUGUGUGGGGUGACCGCCCCGCUAGCGGGGUGUGGGUCGAGGUGCCCCGGACUGGGAGAGAAGGAGCCUCCCUCGGCCGUAGGGAUGGGGGCUGCCCUGUAAGUCAGGGAGCAUCUGUGUCCCGGAGUCCCAGGCCCUUUUCGAUGGCGGCAGUGGCCGGGGGUCCCCUGUAAGCAGGGAAGCUGACUCUUUGGCUGCUGCUUUUUGUGUGCCCAGCCCCAUUUGCCCAGUCUGCCCGCCUCUGUGAUCCCCCGCAGCACUGGC